CAGCAAGUUCGGCGGUGAAGAUGUUUUACGGCUGGGAAGUGCAUCUCCCUGUCCCGGGAGCGAGAGGUCAAGUCAGAUGCAGGUUAACAGGAAGCAGGUUUCCUGUCACCCCUGGAGGACUGUGAUGACGUGACGUUUGGGAACCAAGAGUCACAUGCCGUACAGGCUACCAGUGGAAUCCUAGGCUUCAUCUUCAAGGUUGGUUGAGAGUACGAUUUCGUAUCUGCUUAUUCUGCUCGUAGGUAGGUUGAGAGCACAAUUUUCUGUCUAGUGAAUGUGCAGGCCUGUGGUCUGCCUGGACUAGGCCAUGUGGGGUAAAGCUUUUGUUUUUUAAAGAAACAAACCGGAAGGUUGGAUGUUUAGAGACACACUUAUUGAAAUAAAAAUAAAGCAUAAAUCCAGUAUAAUUAA